rnacentral:rRNA from 1 species
AAUAUUCCGCAAUGGAGGGAACUCUGACGCAGCGGCGCCGCGUGCGCGAUGAAGGUCUACGGAUCNUAAAGCUCUGUCCUUGGGGANGAAGGUCUUCGGACUUGACGGUACCUAAGGAGGAAGCCCAGGCUAACUACGUGCCAGCAGCCGCGGUAAUACGUAGGGGGCGAGCGUUGUCCGGAAUUACUGGGCGUAAAGGGUACGUAGGCGGCUAUAUAAGUCAGGUGUGAAAUACCAGUGCUUAACACUGGAAUUGCAUUUGAAACUGUGUAGCUUGAGUGCAGGAGAGGAAAGUGGAAUUCCUAGUGUAGCGGUGAAAUGCGUAGAGAUUAGGAGGAACACCAGUGGCGAAGGCGACUUUCUGGACUGUAACUGACGCUGAGGUACGAAAGCGUGGGUAGCGAACA